AAAUGAGAACGAUUAUGCUAAAGUACUACGGAUGUUUUCUAGUAAAAAUACAACCACAAUAUCAUAUCUUCAAGAGCAUAAGUACAUCAUAACUUCAAGUACAAAAGUUAUUGAGUUUUUUAUUAGCCUUAGUAUUGAUCUAUGAUCGCGCAAGAAUGACUAAGCCAGUUUUAAAAUCGUUGCGUGGCUGGUUUUAGAUUAAUGAGACCGGCGUAGUCAUUCUCUUCCGAUCGUCUUAUCAAUUCUUGCCUGACAUCGAUAAUAUACUUAUGCAUGCAUCUGAUGAAUUCGCUUGAUUCCGUAAUCUCAUUGAUGAUUAGAAUCAAGAUGUCACUUAAUAAAGCGUCGUCGGAGGGACAGCAAAAUUUCACAACUGAGCAAGUGUGAACUGGAUCAUUGUCGGGCGGCCGGAAAAAAACACGCGAGUCCCUAAAACAGAACCCCCGCAUGGUUUUCACGCGAUUCCCUUGAAAUACGGCUGCCCUACAAAACAUUUACGAGGAAAGAUUUCUUGAAAUUUCAAAAGCAGUUGGACGUGUGUGUAGCCCGUGUAGUCUUUUUAAAUGGGAAAUUCCUGAUUUUUCACGAAGGGAAAGUCUCUCUCUAAAAAAAAAAAAAAAAAAAAAGAGAAUUGUUCCAUCACCUGAAAUUUAUUUUUAGAUUUAAGAAAAGCAAAGGAGAUAAUCCUUUAAUAUAUACUGGCAAAUACGUGUGUGAUCAUUUUAAUCUUUCGUGAUCCCUCUUAUCGACAUGUUUUGGUUGUUUCCGGUUUCUAACCACUGAUCACAAGGUCAUAUCGAUCCGCCUCAUGAAGCAAGUACGCUUAUCAGUUGAAGGUAAUCAGGGAUGGUACACAUGGCAACGUCUCCUGAGAUGGGAGAUUCUCUUGCUGGGAGGUAAAUAGCAAUGAUGGCACUUUCGUAUUUUUAUAACCGUUAUCUUUAUUACUUGUGGCCACGGGAAAUUUUCAUAAUUGGAAAAACAGUGGAAAAAGAUUUAUUCACUUGUAAUCGCUCUUC